AGAUGGGAUUACUAGCUGGUUGCAAUGUCAAUGACCAUAUUGAUCAUUAGAGCUGAUCUAGUUGACCAGGGGUGUCCUCUUCUUCCCUCACUUCUCCACCUGCCUCCCACCAAAAGCUCCAUGUUUAGUGGAAAAGGAUGACCGUCUUAGGUAGAAAGAAUGUAUCAUUCUUUGGUCAAGGUUAACAGUAACUAUUAUGUGGUAUCAAAGCAUUAAAAUUAAGAAGUAUUCAACAAUACUAACAAAGGACAUUU
rnacentral:snRNA from 1 species